rnacentral:rRNA from 1 species
UCAUGCUAGAAAGAGCAUAUGGUGGAUGCCUUGGCACUAAGAGCCGAUGAAAGACGCGAUAAGCUGCGAAAAGCUUCGGGGAGGGGCAAAUACCCUUUGAUCCGGAGGUGUCUGAAUGGGGAAACCCGCAUGAGGAGCCCUCAUGCAUCCCUGCGCCAAUCCAUAACGCAGGGAGGGGAACCCGGCGAACUGAAACAUCUAAGUAGCCGGAGGAAGAGAAAACAACAAGUGAUUCCGUAAGUAGCGGCGAGCGAACACGGAGGAGCCCAAACCGGGGCGCGUGCGCCCCGGGGUUCGGACCGCGGAAGUGAUUCGGGAAGGCUAGCAGAACGGCUUUGGGAAAGCCGGCCAGAGAGGGUGAAAGCCCCGUAAGCGAAAGCCUGACAGACACGGCGGUAUCCAGAGUACCACGAGACACGAGAAACCUUGUGGGAAGAGGCGGGGACCACCCCGCAAGGCUAAAUACUCCUUAGUGACCGAUAGCGCAUAGUACUGUGAAGGAACGGUGAAAAGAACCCCGGGAGGGGAGUGAAAGAGAACCUGAAACCAUAUGUUUACAAGCUGUGGAAGGGCCUUACGUGCCCAACCGCGUACUUUUUGUAGAACGGUCCGGCGAGUUACGCCGGCUGGCAAGGUUAAGGGCUAAAGGCCCGGAGCCGAAGGGAAACCAAGUCUGAAUAGGGCGAAGGAGUCAGCCGGAGUAGACCCGAAACCGGGUGAUCUAUCCAUGUCCAGGUUGAAGUUGCCGUAAAAGGCAAUGGAGGACCGAACCCACAUCCGUUGAAAAGGGUGGGGAUGAGGUGUGGAUAGGGGAGAAAUUCCAAUCGAACCCGGAGAUAGCUGGUUCUCCUCGAAAUAGCUUUAGGGCUAGCCUCAUACGAGUCUUGCGGAGGUAGAGCACUGAAUUUCCUAGGGGGCGUCAAAGCUUACCGAAGAAUAUCAAACUCCGAAUGCCGCGUAGAUGAUGUAUGGGAGUCAGACUGCACGAGAUAAGUUGGGCAGUCGAAAGGGAAAGAGCCCAGACCUGCGGCUAAGGCCCCAAAAUGUGUGUUAAGUGGAAAAGGAUGUGGGAUUUCGAAGACAACUAGGAUGUUGGCUCAGAAGCAGCCAUGCAUUCAAAGAGUGCGUAAUAGCUCACUAGUCGAGAGGUCCCGCGCCGAAAAUGUCCGGGGCUGAAACACACUGCCGAAGCCCGGGGAUGUACCAAGUACAUCGGUAGAGGAGCAUUGGAUGCGGGAGGAAGCGGCACCGGAAGGAGCCGUGGACCGCAUCGAAGAGAGAAUGCCGGAAUGAGUAGCGAGAGGAAGGUGGGAAUCCUUCCGGCCGAAUAUCCAAGGUUUCCAGAGUAAAGCUGAUCUGCUCUGGGUAAGUCGGGGCCUAAGGCGAGGGCGGGAGCCGUAGCCGAUGGACAACAGGUUGAGAUUCCUGUACCGCGAUAUGACAGAACUGUGGGGACACGCGUGGAAAGCAUAAGCCGGGAAUGGAAAGACCGGCGCAAGCGGGGCAGGGGCUGCAUAGGCAAAUCCGUGCAGCGUAACCCGAAGCCGUGACGCGUACCGAACUGCAAGUAGGGAAGUAUGCGAGCCAUGCGUCAAGAAAAGCCGCUAUCGCUCAUAUCGCGCCCGUACCGCAAACCGACACAGGUAGAUGAGGAGAGAAUCCUAAGGCCGACGGGAGAAGCAUUGUCAAGGAACUCGGCAAAAUGACUCCGUAACUUCGGGAGAAGGAGUGCCAUAGAGAUAUGGCCGCAGAGAAUUGGCCCAAGCAACUGUUUAGCAAAAACACAGGUCUAUGCGAAGCCGCAAGGCGAGGUAUAUGGGCUGACGCCUGCCCGGUGCUGGAAGGUUAAGGGGAGAGGUUAGAGCGAUCGAAGCCUUGAACUUAAGCCCCAGUAAACGGCGGCCGUAACUAUAACGGUCCUAAGGUAGCGAAAUUCCUUGUCGGGUAAGUUCCGACCCGCACGAAAGGCGUAAUGAUUUGGGCACUGUCUCGACAAUGCACCCGGUGAAAUUGAAGUACCAGUGAAGAUGCUGGUUACCCGCGCCAGGACGGAAAGACCCCAUGGAGCUUUACUCCAGCUUGAUACUGGGAUCCGGUAUUGCAUGUACAGGAUAGGUGGGAGGCUAGGAAGCGAUGACGCCAGUCGUCGCGGAGCCGCUGUUGGGAUACCACCCUUGCAGUGCUGGGUUUCUAACCAGCAGCCGUGAACCGGCUGGGGGACAAUGUCAGGCGGGGAGUUUGACUGGGGCGGUCGCCUCCGAAAGGG